rnacentral:rRNA from 1 species
CCUACGGGAGGCUGCAGUGGGGAAUAUUGGACAAUGGGCGAAAGCCUGAUCCAGCCAUGCCGCGUGUGUGAAGAAGGCCUUCGGGUUGUAAAGCACUUUCAGUGGGGAAGAAAGCCUUGGGGCUAAUACCCUCGAGGAAGGACAUCACCCACAGAAGAAGCACCGGCUAACUCCGUGCCAGCAGCCGCGGUAAUACGGAGGGUGCGAGCGUUAAUCGGAAUUACGGGGCGUAAAGCGCGCGUAGGCGGUCUGAUAAGCCGGUUGUGAAAGCCCCGGGCUCAACCUGGGAACGGCAUCCGGAACUGUCAGGCUAGAGUGCAGGAGAGGAAGGUAGAAUUCCCGGUGUAGCGGUGAAAUGCGUAGAGAUCGGGAGGAAUACCAGUGGCGAAGGCGGUCUUCUGGACUGACACUGACGCUGAGGUGCGAAAGCGUGGGUAGCAAACAGGAUUAGAUACCCGUGUAGUC